rnacentral:rRNA from 1 species
UACGGAGGGUGCAAGCGUUAAUCGGAAUUACUGGGCGUAAAGCGCACGCAGGUGGCUGAGUCAGUCGAUUGUGAAAGCCCUGGGCUUAACCUGGGAAUUGCAGUCGAUACUACUCAGCUAGAGUAUGGGAGAGGGUAGUGGAAUUCCCGGUGUAGCGGUGAAAUGCGUAGAUAUCAGGAGGAACAUCAGUGGCGAAGGCGGCUACCUGGCCCAAUACUGACACUCAGGUGCGACAGCGUGGGGAGCAAACAGG